GUGAAGAAGUCAGGCAAUGCUACAGAGAUCUGCCAAAGUAGACGAAACAAUGCAGGUACUUUACCGAGCAGGAAAAGGAGAUGAAAUUGGACUUUAAUUGGAAAAUGUGGAAAGGUGACAGAAAACUUCACUCUGGAGCUUAAGGCAGUUUGUGAUGGAGGAAAGAACAGGUGGCUUAGGAAAAGUGACUUAUUAAGAAGCACAAGGAUGGAUGAAAGCACUUUCAACAACAGUAGAGUGGAGGGAGAAGGAUUCAAUAAAGCUUGGGCUAGUCAGUCAUUUACAAAUUACAAAUCAAAAACAAGGACUGGGCAUAUAUUUAAAACAAGGGCAAGUCUCCAGGUUACAAAUAGGUUCCAAUCCUGAGUAUAUUCGUAAGUCAAUUUGUACACAAGUCGGAACAAAAUACAUGAUAAAAUAGCUGUUCAUUAGUAUGAGCAAACUGUCAAGUCAGAUCUUUAAAAUUAAUAUUAAAUGUGGGAUCUCAUUUGUAGGUAAAAGUGUUCGUAUGCUCAUUAAGUGGGAACUGCAUGUAGUUACCAAAACAAGAGACAACCAACUUUAAACAUUGUCUCUCAAUUUAAGAGUUCUUUGGUAUAUAUCUCCCUUUAAAUUCCAAGUUAUGGAAUUGUUUCUUUUAUAAUUACAAAAGCAGUAGUUGGCAGAAGUGAGUUACUUUUCUGAUUCACUUUUGUGCACAGCUGAAUAAUCAAAAUGGUGCCAGAAAUGGCAUAUACAGCAUGUUCUGAAAACCUAUGCAAUAAGGAAUUAAAAGCAAGAAACAUUUUGAAGUAUUUUAAUGUUUUGCCAGAUGUCUGAAAAAAAAUUAUAAAAACAGUUUUGGCAGUUAGGUUUAAUCAACACUACAAAGAAAAAUUCUAUAAUUAUAAAAAAAAACAGAACUAAACAAGCACAAGGUAACUGCAUAAACAUUUUCAGGAUGCCACAAAAUUCAGAGAUAAAGAUGAAUGCCAACAGAUCAGAAGUAAAUAAAUAUUUAUUUCAAUUUUGUUCUCUUCUGUUCGCACAAGCUGUCAAAUAACUCUUGCUGUUAAUAAAUGCUAUUGUAACCAA